GGAAGUGUGCCUGAAAAAUUAAGGGCCUCCUUGAUAGGGAGUACUAUAGGGGUUAAAAUCCCCUCGCUUCCU
rnacentral:tRNA from 1 species